UGGGACUUGGUCUCAGGCAUGAGUCUUUUCUUCCUCCUUCCUGGGAGGGGUUGGAACUAAGCCUCAAAGCAGAGUAGCUGACAACGUGGCGUGGGAGAGGCUUGGAUGUGUCGCUGGAGAGAAACAUUCUUGCCACCCCCACCCUAAAGAGGCUGCGGGGACAGGCAGCCCAGCCCUCCUGGCCUAUUUUCGGGCUGGAGAGAGGUUCAGUCUCAGGCACAGUUUUGGGAGGCAGAUCAGCCUCCCUGUUCCGGCCUCCCACUCCCAUGGAGCUCUCUGCUGCCUCUUCCAAGGGGCCGCAGAUACCCGUUCCUUGCUCUAUUUCUUCACCAGCCCUACCUGUUCUCAGUCCAUUACCUCAUGGCCCUGCUCUCUGCUUACUAAAGUGACAAUUCGUCUAUAAGGAAGCCCUUGCACUGUAGCUGAGGAUUCGCGAGGCUGCACCCUCAGCAGGCACUGUGGCCACACAGCACUGGCCUGAGAUCUGAGUUCCUGGAGCCUCGGCCCUGAGGCCCAUGGCCAUAGAACAAGCCAUUUUCAACAAAAGGACUUGCAAAUUCCUGCCUUAGGGCUCCUUCUGCACAGGACAGACCUUUCAUCACCAACCCAACUUGUAAUCUUGGGUAAAGAAGGUUCUCAGCUCAUUUUCAAGAAGAAAAAAAAAAUGGAAGGAGCUAGCAGCCCCAAAGUACUUCCACUGAAGCCUUUGGAAAAGAGGGAAGACUCCAAGUCUCUGGCACCUGCAGAAGAGGGGAAUCUUGAGAAGUAGCUGACGCUCCGAGUUUACAUGUCCCCUUGGUGAGAUUUCUUACAGCAGAACAUGACGUUCUUCCCACCCCCAGGAUGCAAACCACUUUAAAAGAAUGUUAUACUUUGCUCUGCGUGGCCAAAUACCACAAACACCACUUGAUUUUAAAAUUAUGUAGUCUUGGUAUUCCAAAGCCAACGUGCACCACCAUGCAAGAACAGAUGCGGUCUCUGAAGGCAAAAGCCCCAGGCAGUGCUUAAGUCUCAAAAAAGAGUUGUCAUGUCAUCCUCAACUUGAGAUGUUUGCUUGGCAAGCAUUUUUUACUCUCUGGAGGAAAUUUUGUUUACAGGAUUUAACAGUUACACACACAAACACACACACACACACACACACACACACACACAAUUACUCAUUGUUCAGCUGCAGAACAAAGGUCAGCUCUUGGCACGCAGUAGUUUUCCAAUUCCUGAUCCUUUUUGAUUUUCAAUGUGCCCAUCAGCAGACAUGUAAUUUUAUCUUAAGACAGCCAAGUGCAAAGCAUGAGACAAUAGGCAGAAAUCUUGUAAAUAACUAUCAAACAGAAAUAAUCCUUUCAGCUGACGAGGGAAAGCCUCCUUUGUUCCAUUUUAAUGAUGUUUAUAUAAAUUUUAGUAUGCAUAUUCAGUCAGUAACAUUAUUUUAAGGCAGUUGAUAUAGGUGCCAAAAUCCUCUGUGUACUGAGGAGAUAGGUUAUCUUUUGCAUGUGUGGGGUUUUGGAGACAAAAGUUGCACUGAAGUGUGUGGCUCUUGUAAAUUAUCUCAAUUUCCUGUUUGAGAUAAUGGAGCAGUGGAUUUUCACAUCCAAUCCCUUUAAAUCGUAGGUUUAAUUCAGUUGAGACCCAGAAGUGAUUAGCCCAAGUUUACACAGGCACUUAAUAGCUGAGCAGGGUCACAGACAAAUUCUACCUAAAGUUUGCAAUUACUCCCCAUGAUAAGCUGGAGAAUUGGAAUUCCUUUCCAUUACCUGUAGUACUUUUGCCAUAGUAAGUCUUAGAACAAGAGUAAAGAAAAGGCAAUAGGUUUUCAUGGCUGGGUGCAGGGGCUCAUACUUGUAAUCCCAGCACUUUGGGAGGUCAAGGUAGGAGGAUUGCUUGAGGCUAGGAGUUUGAGACCAGCCUCAGCAACAUGGUGAAACCCCGUCCCUACCAAAAAAAAAAAAAAAAAAAAUUAGCUGGGCAUGGUGGCAUGAACCAGUAGUUCCACCUACUCAGGAGGUUAAGGCAGGAAGAUCUCUUGACCCCACGAGGUUGAGGCUUCAGUGAGCUAUGAUUGUGCCACUGCAUUCCAGCCUGAGUGACAGAGCAAGGCCCUAUCUCAAAAAAAAAAAAAAAAAAAGAAAAAGGAAAAAGAACCUUAUGAUAUAAUCCUGACCAGAAAUUGGACUUAAGUAUUUUUCAAAGCCAUUUAUGUUACUGGUUGGAAAAAAAUGAUAAAAGUGGACAUUUUGUUUCUUAAUAAGAUUAAAAAGCUAUGUACGAUGUAUUAAAUAUAAGUCGACAUUUGAUUAUUCCUUAGAUGCAAUUCCAGAAACAAGUUGUCCAGGCAGGAGAGGCUGGCUUAGAAUUUGUGGAGUAUCUUACAAUUGUGGUCAUUGGAAACAAAUCGAAAUGCAGCAAAUAAGCCACUAUUCCUGUUGUUCCCCUUGUCUGUUUCUCCCAGCUUUAUUCACUUAGAAACUUAAUUUUGCCUGAUCUGACAGGCACAAGAAGGAGCCAGGUGGAGGGAGGCUGGAAGCCUCCAAGGUUGGUCUUUCAGGAACAAUGACAAUGCUGUCUACUGAAAACCACUUCCAAACGGCUUUCAAAGCCCAGGAGUUUGUUUAGAGAAAAUCUUGCUGGCAUUGAUGGAUUUCUUCUCCUCUGACAGUUCACAGGAAAGAGUGUAGUAUAAAGAAUUAAGUGAUUCAUUCCAAACAUCUGAUGGGUUCCCUUCAAGUACUCCCCCUCUGAUCCACUUCUUAUGGCUGUGCUGAGCCUCCCCAUCUGUGAUGAGGUCAUUUUGUCGGGCACACAGAGGAUUCUAGGGGGAAUAUGCAUCAUAUACUGCAGCUAUUCACGGCAUUCAUUCCUCCUGGCUGCUCAUGGGUAACAAUGAACCUUCUCAGCAUUACAUGUGCUUACUAAGGAGACAGGGGUUAGAUGCCUUUCAGUGGAACCCCCCGAGGCACACAAUGCAUUUAUUAUAAUGUCUUGGCCCUAAGAAGGGCCUGGGAACAGCUUGGAGUGGUCUAUAAUUAAGUACAUUUAAUAAUAAAUGCACAUACUUCUUAGGUAUUGCAAGAAGUGAAAAUAAGCUCUUCGUCUUCUCAGUCUCAAUUCCCUUUCCCCAUCAUCCUUCCCCUUCACAAAUCAGAAAAGCCAGGAGUACUGUGCUUUUUUAAAAAUAGCAAUUGCAGAGGAUGUCUGGCU
rnacentral:lncRNA from 1 species